AAUGAACGUUGGCGGCAUGGAUUAGGCAUGCAAGUCGAGCGAGAAGUCUUUUUUGCUUGCAUUAAAGAUGGACAGCGGCGAAAGGGAGAGUAACGCGUAGAAAUGUACCCCAAGGUCCGGGAUAGUGGUGGGAAACUGCCAGUAAUACCGGAUGAUGUCUCCGGACCAAAGUUUUUCGCCUUGGGAGCAGUCUGCGUACUAUUAGCUUGUUGGUGGGGUAAAAGCCUACCAAGGCUUAGAUGGUUAGCGGGCGUGAGAGCGUGGCCCGUCUCACUGGGACUGAGACACUGCCCAGACACCUACGGGUGGCUGCAGUCGAGAAUCUUCCGCAAUGGGCGAAAGCCUGACGGAGCAAUGCCGCGUGGUGGAUGAAGGCCCUCGGGUUGUAAACACCUGUCAGUAGGGAGGAAAUUUUGACCGAUCUACAGAGGAAGUCCGGGCUAAGUACGUGCCAGCCGCCGCCGUAACAC
rnacentral:rRNA from 1 species